CUUGGUCAAUUUAGAGGAAGUAAAAGUCGUAACAAGGUUUCCGUAGGUGAACCUGCGGAAGGAUCAUUAUCGAUUUUUAAAGAUGUGCUGGCACUCCUUCACCGGUUUGCAUGUGCACUCUACAAAAUCUCCUUCUCUUACCCCACUGUGCACACCCAAGUAGACAAACAGAGUUACAGAGCAAUCUGUGUAAUUCCUGAUUUGCCUAUGUUUUUAUCAAACACCAAUAAAAUUUUCAGAAUGAUCUAUAUAGUAAGCUUUUAACAAGCUGAAAUUUAAUACAACUUUCAACAAUGGAUCUCUUGGUUCUCGCAUCGAUGAAGAACGCAGCGAAUUGCGAUAUGUAAUGUGAAUUGCAGAAUUCAGUGAAUCAUCGAAUCUUUGAACGCACCUUGCACCCUCUGGCAUUCUGGAGGGUAUGCCUGUUUGAGUGUCAUUAAUCUCUCAACACAAGAAACUUUGUCUUCUUGUGCUUGGAUAUUGAAGGUUUUGCUGGCGCAAACAACUGUCAGCUCCUUUUAAAUGUAUUAGCAGAGCAGUAUAGGACUGGCCUCGGUUUGAUAAGAAACUUUAUCUAUGCUGUCGCUGGGUUUUCCUCUUUGUGCUCAGCUUCAAAUUGUCUUUGGACUGUCUCUUUGAGGCAAAAAAACUCUAUUGAUCGACCUCAAAUCAGGUAGGACUACCCGCUGAACUUAAGCAUAUCAAUA
rnacentral:rRNA from 1 species